UGCCAGCCGCCGCGGUAAUACGGAGGGGGUUAGCGUUGUUCGGAAUUACUGGGCGUAAAGCGCACGUAGGCGGAUCAGAAAGUUGGGGGUGAAAUCCCAGGGCUCAACCCUGGAACUGCCUCCAAAACUCCUGGUCUAGAGUUCGAGAGAGGUGAGUGGAAUCCCGAGUGUAGAGAUAGAAUUCAUAAAUAUUAGAAGGAACACCAGUGGCGAAGGCGACUGUCUGGAUCAAAACUGACGCUGAGGUGCGAAGGCAUGGGGAGCAAACAGGAUUAGAUA
rnacentral:rRNA from 1 species